rnacentral:rRNA from 1 species
AGAGUUUGAUCAUGGCUCAGAACGAACGCUGGCGGCAGGCUUAACACAUGCAAGUCGAACGAUGUAGCAAUACAUAGUGGCGCACGGGUGAGUAACGCGUGGGAAUAUACCUUAUAGUGGGGAAUAACUUUGGGAAACUAAAGCUAAUACCGCAUACGCCCGAGAGGGGAAAGAUUUAUCGCUAUAAGAUUAGCCCGCGUGAGAUUAGGUAGUUGGUGGGGUAAUGGCCUACCAAGCCUACGAUCUGUAGCUGGUCUGAGAGGAUGAUCAGCCACACUGGAACUGAGACACGGUCCAGACUCCUACGGGAGGCAGCAGUGGGGAAUAUUGGGCAAUGGAGGAAACUCUGACCCAGCCAUGCCGCGUGAAUGAUGAAGGCCUUAGGGUUGUAAAGUUCUUUCGCCGAUGAAGAUAAUGACGGUAGUCGGAGAAGAAGCCCCGGCUAACUUCGUGCCAGCAGCCGCGGUAAUACGAAGGGGGCUAGCGUUGUUCGGAAUUACUGGGCGUAAAGCGAGCGUAGGUUGCUCGAUAAGUCAGUGGUGAAAGCCCAGAGCUCAACUCUGGAACUGCCAUUGAAACUGUCGAGCUGGAAUCUCAGAGGGGGUAGCGGAAUUCCAAAUGUAGGGGUGAAAUCCGUAGAUAUUUGGAGGAACACCGGUGGCGAAGGCGGCUACCUGGAUGAGUAUUGACACUGAGGCUCGAAAGCGUGGGGAUCAAACAGGAUUAGAUACCCCGGUAGUCC